GCUAGCUACAGGCUUAACACAUGCAAGUCGAGGGGCAGCAUGGUCUUAGCUUGCUAAGGCCGAUGGCGACCGGCGCACGGGUGAGUAACACGUAUCCAACCUGCCGUCUACUCUUGGACAGCCUUCUGAAAGGAAGAUUAAUACAAGAUGGCAUCAUGAGUCCGCAUGUUCACAUGAUUAAAGGUAUUCCGGUAGACGAUGGGGAUGCGUUCCAUUAGAUAGUAGGCGGGGUAACGGCCCACCUAGUCUUCGAUGGAUAGGGGUUCUGAGAGGAAGGUCCCCCACAUUGGAACUGAGACACGGUCCAAACUCCUACGGGAGGCAGCAGUGAGGAAUAUUGGUCAAUGGGCGAGAGCCUGAACCAGCCAAGUAGCGUGAAGGAUGACUGCCCUAUGGGUUGUAAACUUCUUUUAUAAAGGAAUAAAGUCGGGUAUGUAUACCCGUUUGCAUGUACUUUAUGAAUAAGGAUCGGCUAACUCCGUGCCAGCAGCCGCGGUAAUACGGAGGAUCCGAGCGUUAUCCGGAUUUAUUGGGUUUAAAGGGAGCGUAGAUGGAUGUUUAAGUCAGUUGUGAAAGUUUGCGGCUCAACCGUAAAAUUGCAGUUGAUACUGGAUAUCUUGAGUGCAGUUGAGGCAGGCGGAAUUCGUGGUGUAGCGGUGAAAUGCUUAGAUAUCACGAAGAACUCCGAUUGCGAAGGCAGCCUGCUAAGCUGCAACUGACAUUGAGGCUCGAAAGUGUG
rnacentral:rRNA from 1 species